UAAUUCUCAACCAUGUCUUGAUCGAUUUCGAGUGCAUGGCUUGGACUUGGGAGUUGCUGGCGGCGAAAGGCUGUCGGCUCUCCUGAAAUGCAUUAGCAAAGGGUAGCUAGUCUUUGACGUGCACGGCCUUCGACGUGAUAAUGAUCGUCGUGGCUGGAGCGUCUCGGACCAUGCAUGAAUAGCCUAUGCUUCUAAUUCGAAACCCUCGCCUUGGAACUGAGCUAGCUUUUUAGCUACUAGUCGGUCGUGAGGCCGACGAACGCACUGCUAUCAGUUUGGUUUCUGGGCUCGUGUGUUCACUCUCUAAACCUUGACCUCAAAUCAGGUAGGACUACCCGCUGAACUUAAGCAUAUCAUA
rnacentral:rRNA from 1 species